AGGACAGUGUCUGGUGGGUAGUUUGACUGGGGCGGUCGCCUCCCAAAAUGUAACGGAGGCAUGCAAAGGUUCCCUCAGGCUGAUUGGAAACCAGCCGUCGAGUGCAAACGCAAAAGGGAGCUUGACUGCAAGAGAGACAUCUCGAGCAGGUACGAAAGUAGGUGUUAGUGAUCCGGUGAUCCCGAAUGGAAGGGUCAUCGCUCAUUGGAUAAAAGGUACGCCGGGGAUAACAGGCUGAUCGCAUCCAAGAGUUCACAUCGACGAUGCGGUUUGGCACCUCGAUGUCGGCUCAUCACAUCCUGGGGCUGAAGCAGGUCCCAAGGGUACGGCUGUUCGCCGUUUAAAGUGGUACGCGAGCUGGGUUUAAAACGUCGUGAGACAGUUUGGUCCCUAUCUUCUGUGGGCGUAGGAGAAUUGAAAGGGCCUGUCCCUAGUACGAGAGGACCGGGAUGGACACACCACUGGUGGACCUGUUGUCGUGCCAACGGCACAGCAGGGUAGCUAUGUGUGGAAGGGAUAACCGCUGAAAGCAUCUAAGCGGGAAGCCUGCCUUAAGAUAAGUUCUCCCUGACGCAAGUCCUGAAGGGCCGAGGUAGACGACCUCGUUGAUAGGCUGGAGGUGGAAGCCCUGUGAGGGGUGGAGCUGACCAGUACUAAUAGCCCGUGCGUCUUGUUUUC
rnacentral:ncRNA from 1 species